UGAGGAACAUGACCUUCGGCGGGGGAUAGCCGGCCCAACGGCCGGGUAAUACCGCGUACGACCACAUGGGGACAUCCCUGAGUGGUGAAAGCAGCAAUGCGCCGAUGGAGUGCCUCGCGGCCUAUCAGCUAGUUGGUGAGGUAACGGCUCACCAAGGCGACGACGGGUAGCUGGUCUGAUAGGAUGGCCAGCCACAUUGGGACUGAGACACGGCCCCAGACCUCUACCGGGGAGG
rnacentral:rRNA from 1 species